GCCAACGUCCAUACCACGUUGAAUACACCGGUUCUCGUCGAUCACGAAGUUAAGUAACGUCGGGCGCGGUCAGUACUUGGAUGGGUGACCGCCUGGGAACACCGCGUGACGUUGGCU
rnacentral:rRNA from 1 species